rnacentral:rRNA from 1 species
UACGUAGGGGGCGAGCGUUGUCCGGAUUCAUUGGGCGUAAAGAGCACGUAGGCGGCUUGGCAAGUCGGGUGUGAAACCUCCAGGCUCAACCUGGAGAUGCCACCCGAUACUGCCAUGGCUAGAGUCCGGUAGGGGCCCACGGAACUCCUGGUGUAGCGGUGAAAUGCGCAGAUAUCAGGAAGAACACCGGUGGCGAAGGCGGUGGGCUGGGCCGGAACUGACGCUGAGGUGCGAAAGCGUGGGGAGCGAACAGG